GUGCCAGCAGCCGCGGUAAUACGAAGGGUGCAAACGUUAAUCGGAAUUACUGGGCGUAAAGCGCGCGUAGGCGGAUUGGAAAGUUGGAGGUGAAAUCCCAGGGCUCAACCUUGGAACUGCCUUCAAAACUAUCAGUCUAGAGAUCGAGAGAGGUGAGUGGAAUUCCGAGUGUAGAGGUGAAAUUCGUAGAUAUUCGGAGGAACACCAGUGGCGAAGGCGGCUCACUGGCUCGAUACUGACGCUGAGGUGCGAAAGCGUGGGGAGCAAAACGGAUUAGAUACCCGGGUAGUCCACGGCGGAA
rnacentral:rRNA from 1 species